UAAAUUUGGAAUGUGGUAGAUCUUUGUUGUGCGGAGAUGUCUGGCUGCUGACAGAUCCUUCCCUGAUGGGCCAGUGCAGACUAAUGGAUAGAAGGCACUUUCCCCUUAAAGGUUUUUGUGCGAAACACAGUGACUGAAUGACAAGAGACUAACCGUGUACCUCCCAAGGCAUGGCAUCCUGCUCUAAUCAACCAGCAGAUUACCGGAGGCCACCUCAGCCUGCAAAGUUAUGCUGACAGCAUCAUAAAAAAAGGUGUCUUCAACUGGGGCCAUCCUGGCUACUCGUGUCUGUACAUCUUCAGGGUCCAUGGGAAGCUGGCAGGCUGAAGACUGAAAUAAAGGAGAAGACAGAAGACCAACACCUGGGUGCAGAGCAGAGGUAUAUAUAGAAAUGUACUUAUUCCCAGCCUUAUUCUUUGGAAGUGGACCAACACAAUCAAGCAGAAGAUAUUCAAAUGGCUUCUCCACCACUGAAAUUGGGUAUAAUGCAGAUGGCCUUUUCAGAAACUCUGAGACCAGCGUAUUACUAUGCUUUCCUUAUUGGGUGUGUCUGACCAAACAGGAAGAAAGACCUGAAAAGAAAAGGAGAGAGAACAGGCCAACACCCCAGGCCGUCACAACUAAUAAUCUUAGGCUAACAAGUUGCAAACUAUUGGUGAUGGGUAUUCAUUAUUUACAAAAAGUGACCUGCUCUGAGUCACAGUGCAAGUCAACAGAACAGGCUCGUCAUUUUCUUACAUUAACAGUUUGAACCUCCCCCCUACUGUCAGGAACACUCAUCAUUUAAAUUUAAUUAAACUGGACAUAGACUUGUUUCUACCGAAAUCAUGAAAUGGUAAACUCAUGCUCACAGGUGGUCCAGACUGUAAAAAAGGCGAAUUUUAAAGUAUUUAAUCCAUUAAUGACUUGGUGGGCUCAAAUGUUUGGACUUCGAUACUCUAAAUAAUACUUUUAAGAUUAAUUGGGCUAAGCAUUUACUUAAAAACCCUGUCUCGAUUUGGAAUUUUAUUCCCCACUAUAUAUUCUCUCGCUUUGGUGGUCUGCACUGGGUUGCACCAACUAUGUGUAAAUUCAAACUUAGCCUAGUUUCAACGUAAUUUCUAACUUAAGUCGGAGUUUACGUGCUACUAACGUUUAAGAGUUGCACCAGCUGAAAUACGUCCAACGUAGACAUAAGUUACAGCUUAAAUCUUACACCUAGUCCUUAAUAGGUGUAAAGUCCUCCAUAAAAUAGUCAAGUGGUUUUCAUGGAGCAUCGUUUUGAAACGAUGUGUGAUUUGUAAUAACAGCAGCACAGAGGAAAAGUCUGUAAUAUUGAGGCACUUAGCUGAACCUGCCUCCAGCAAACUCGUAUUUUUUCUCCCGUAACUUUUCAGCAUCUCCUUAGCGUUGUGUCGGAAUGUUUUCUAUAGGCCUAACUUACACGAUUUUUGUCCGCGUUUCAACCGUUUAAUUAUGUCUCAUGUGGAGUGAUUAGCCACUAGCCACUCAUAGUAAACCUUCUCGCCUAGGGGGGGACAUAGAUCAACAUAGAUUUUGAAAUAUGAGGGGACCCACUUUUCUCCAGCAUGGCUCCUACGCGUAUAUAAGUUAUAAUGUUACAAUUUCAUCUGCCCGUUAUACUUUACCGUUUGUUACGGGCACCAUUAAAUUACGUCUAUGUUGUAGUAGUUGUAGCUGUAGAUUAAGGUUUCAUAGUUAUCACCUAAUCAUAAUCAUUUGUCCUUGUAGGCCUAUACGUACCUUUUUGUUGGUGUUUUGUUGCUAUUUUUAGCCGUUAGCCUCUUCAGUAUUGCAAAAUGUUGAAAGAGAGAGAGACAAACAGAUGACAAAACCGCAAUAAACUCUGUUAAGAAUAGUGCUGUUCACUGAUUGGCCAUGGGAUGUGUAAACGUCAUUUUCUGCGACACUGUCCUUACGUCUCGGUGGUGCAACCAAACAUCAACACAGCUGAAGUCUCAAACUAACUAGUUUCAACGUAUUGUUUAGUGUGGACUUUGCACCCUAACUUAAGGUAGAACUUACGUAUCGCUGGUGCAGCAGGCUGCGCUUUAUUUUAAACUGUAACUACAAUGUGGACAAACUCCCUGUAAAACUGUCCACUUUUCACAAGCAGGUCCUUUUAACAUGGUCUCUAAUUCAUAAGCAUAAUUUCUCACCUCACAGGUAUCUAAUUUGGAAUAACAUAGAUAUAUUUUAUAUAAAAACAAGUCACUCUUUUUUGAGAGUUGGGUACUCUGUUAUAUUCUGCUGAUGGACCAGCUAUUUAAUAGAGAGGGGCGACUUUUCUCCUGUAGAGAGUUUUUUCAACAUAUAACAUUCCAGUUACGCCAAGAGAAUUUGCAAUUGUAUUUGAAGCCAUUCCAUCAGACACAAUCAUGCUUUUUAGCUAUACUGUCAAGACUUCCACCUACUUCUGCCUCCCUCCCCGAUGUGGCUGAACCACCAGUUUUUCCCAACUUCCUUGAAAUAAUAAGAACAUUCAUGCUUUAUUUCAGAAAGAAAUUCUUUCUAUUCCAAAUGUUAAAUUUUAUUGGAACCGAUUUGUAAAUGACAUUGACUGGAAAAAGGUUUGGAUGAUUCCUCACAGAUACUUGAUAGUAAACAAGGUGAAAAAAGUGUCGUUCCGAAUAAUUCACAGAUAUUACCCUGCUAAUAAUUACAUGGUUAAAUGUAAAAGAGACAUCAAUACAAACUGUUCUUUCUGUGAAGACCACACAGAAACUGUUUUGCACCUCUUUUGGUAUUGCUCACACACCAGAACAUUUUGGCAACACCUCAGCAGAUUCAUCAGUGACCAUAUUUAUAGAGACUUUGCCUUAUUGUGGAAGAAUGUUGUAUUUUGCUUUUAUAGAAGUCAAAGUAAAGAAAAGAUGUACUUCAUUAUCAAUUUAUUAAUUCUUUUGGCAAAAUUUCACAUUCAUAAAUGUAAAUUCAGCGCUGAAAACCCUAAUUUUGUACUUUUUCUCCAUGAAGUUGUACAUUAUGUUAAUCUGAUCUCUGGCUCCAACAACAAAAAGGCAGUUAAAACUGUCAACAUAUGCUCCUCUCUCUCUUUGUAAUGACCUAUAGGCUUCCUCUGGCAAAACUGUAUUGUACU